UACGUAGGGUGCGAGCGUUGUCCGGAAUUAUUGGGCGUAAAGGGCUCGUAGGCGGUUUGUCGCGUCGGGAGUGAAAUCCACUGGCUUAACUGGUGGCUUGCUUUCGAUACGGGCAGACUGGAGGUAUGCAGGGGAGAACGGAACUCCUGGUGUAGCGGUGGAAUGCGCAGAUAUCAGGAGGAACACCGGUGGCGAAGGCGGGUCUCUGGGCAGUAACUGACGCUGAGGAGCGAAAGCGUGGGGAGCGAACAGG
rnacentral:rRNA from 1 species